rnacentral:rRNA from 1 species
AACGAACGCUGGCGGCAGGCCUAACACAUGCAAGUCGAGCGAGGACUUCGGUCCUAGCGGCGGACGGGUGAGUAACGCGUGGGAACGUGCCCCUUGGUACGGAAUAGCCCCGGGAAACUGGGAGUAAUACCGUAUGAGCUCUACGGAGGAAAGAUUUAUCGCCAAGGGAUCGGCCCGCGUUGGAUUAGGUAGUUGGUGGGGUAAUGGCCUACCAAGCCGACGGUCCAUAGCUGGUUUGAGAGGAUGAUCAGCCACACUGGGACUGAGACACGGCCCAGACUCCUACGGGAGGCAGCAGUGGGGAAUCUUAGACAAUGGGCGCAAGCCUGAUCUAGCCAUGCCGCGUGAGCGAUGAAGGCCUUAGGGUUGUAAAGCUCUUUCAGCUGGGAAGAUAAUGACUGUACCCGGAGAAGAAGCCCCGGCUAACUUCGUGCCAGCAGCCGCGGUAACAC